GACAAACAGGCAGAAUCAAGUUGUGUUUGGUAUAAAAGGAAGUCAGAGGAAAGUAAGAAAAUCUAGUUUUAUUUGUAGGGGUGGAAUUUGUGCAAAUAAGGAUGGAUUGGUUAUUUUUUUUAUCUUGAUACUUCAAAAACUACAGAGGAAACCGGGAUUAGAUACCCCGUUAUUUGUGUUGUUAACUUUAACUGGUCAGUUUACCUGAGUAUUACGGGUUAAUCAAAACAAAAAAUUUAGAUAAGUUUGUUUGUCACUUAAAACUCAAAAAACUUGGCGGUGUUUUAUUUCUUUCCAGGGGAACCUGUUCUGUAAUUGAUAAUCCACGUUUUAGCUUACUUUUUUUGGUAGCAGUUUUCUGGUAUCAGUUUGUAUACCGUCGUCGUCAGAUUACCUUUAAGAGGAUUAAAGUUGUCGGAAAAAUCGUUUGUGUAAUUUAGUUUCUUUGCUUCGGCAUUAAGGUAAAUUUGUUUAACAAUUGUUUUGAUGUCAGAUCAAGGUGCAGCUGAUAAAAAAGGAGAAAUGGGUUACUAUAUAAAGUUAAUUUUUGGAAAUUAAGUUGUAAAACUUAAAUGAAAUAGGACUUGGAAGUAAUACAUAAUAUAUAAAGUAGAGAGUAUGUGUGAAGUGUGCUCUAAAACGCGU
rnacentral:rRNA from 1 species